AAUAGUUUCUUUCUCUGUAAAGGAAGGUGUAUAACUGCCAGGGCAGACAGUUUUAAAAGGAAUCUAGAAAAUUAAAGGCGGAUUAAAAGGCGUGAGGUAAUCGCGACAGUUAAGUAGCUUACCUAGAAAACGGAUCCUGCUUCUGUUUCGCUGUACUUUGGACACAAAUCGGCGAAAGAAUACUGUAGGGACCUGGUGUUUCUAAUUAGGAAAUAGAUCAUUUUUUUAUAAUGAGCCAUUGUUGAAGUUGACUUGAACAUCAGAAGUAUGUUAAAUCAAUUCCACGCGAUGUCCAGUUACUACAACUUAAGAAAAUUAUAAAUGUUGUAUUUGUAUUGAAAUAGGAAGCAAAUAAAUAUCUGGCAUACAAAUCUCCUUGGAAUGCACUACGAGGAUAUCCUUCUUUAUGGAUUGUUUAAAUUAAGAAUUUUGACAUGGAUUCUGAAGUAAUACAACAGACGUGGCACGGGCUCGAAAGUAAAAUGAGGAACGUUGGUUUAAAAGAGGGCCUGUUCGAUGGGCGUGCCAGCAAUUUUCAAGUUGGGUUUGAUAGUGGAUACAAGAUUGGUCUUAAAAACGGGUUUCUAUUGGGCCAAUACGUUUUCAAUAAUAGCAAAAUGGGCGAAUCACCAUCUAACCAUCGCAGCGCAAACGGAGAAGUAUCAGAAGACCCCAAGAGGGAAUUGUGCGUUAUUUGCUCGGGAGAUACGGAAAAUUUAAAUUUUAGUGAAAUUAAAAUGAAACAGGAUAAACUUAUCAAAGCAAGGUUAAAAAGUAACCAAAAUAAUGCGGAGCUAAACUAAGAGAAAAAGCAACGUGGCGUAGGAAGCGCGAGACAGAAUUUUGAACAAAGUGGUUCACUUUUUUAUUGCGACUAUAAUUUUGAGGACUAGAGUGAAAAAUUUCCCGCACUACGAGCUGCAAAACUAAAGCAAGGAAGGAUCCUCAAACAAGGUUUUCUAGGAAAAAACAAAUAUCCGAACUUGAAAAACAUUGUAGAAAACUUGUUAGAGAAAUUUAGGGAUAAAACUACACUUUUUACACUCGCAUCUGGAUUACUUUUCCGAAAAUCUUCGUGCCGUCAGUGAGGAGAAAGGUGAGAGGUUCCACCAAGAUAUAAAAGCAAUGGAACGCAGAUAUCAAGGUCGAUGAAACGUUGCAAUGAUAGCAAUUUACUGCUGGUUAUUGAAAAAGGACAAUCCGCCCAUGGAAUUUACAAGAAAAUCCACUAAACGAAGUUUUUCGGUCAAGAGGGGGAGAUCUUCCAAAAAUAAAUGGACUUAGCUAAUGUUUCAGACUUUAUUAUUUAAUUUAGAUUUUUUAAUUCGGUUUUUGGUCUUGUAUUAAAAUAGUCAACGGAGAUUUUCAUUUACUAAUUCUUUAAGUUAAUACUUGUGAGCUCUGCACCGUAUAUGCACCAACCGCUUCUGCCUCGAUGUAUAUUCUCGAGAACUUAAAAUUUGUUAGGAACAAUAUACGCUAAUAUAACACAGAGUAUAUAGCUUUUGCCACAUUCCGCAUUUGGAUCGCCACUCUUCUUUAUUUUUCCAAGCAUUCGCUCUUAUAGCUCUAUCUUCCAUGUUUUUCAAAAAACCGCUAAUCCACGAGGUUAUCGGUGUGCUCCGUUCCCGUUUGUUUACUAAACAAUAUUGUAAUUGUAAUGCUCGUUUUGGCUAUCUAUAUUCGCCUAUGCGCUGCGCAUGUCCGUACCAUAUUAAUUGUCUUGUUUCUGUUUGUUCUGAUGUAUGUAUUCUUUCCGUCUUCGGUCUUGUUUCAUUAUUUGUCCUGCGUUCAGUCCUUGAUAUUACACAAGCCCUUCUCAAAUAGUUAAUUUCAACUAUGUCUAUUUUUUUCUUUGUUGGCCUGCAUUGGCGGGUUUCAAGUUGUUCGUUUUUCUAGUAUUUGUUGGGGACUGAAAAUAUUGUCUGUAUAAGAACUCGAAAGCCGACUUCAAUACUCCGCUUCUAUGCUCCUUUUAAAGAUACGAACAUACAACCUUUCCAAAGAACAGCUACACUUAUGCUCUUAUAAUUGUAAGAUGAUUUUCACCCUUUUUAUAUAUGGAGCUCAUAUGUGUGAAGUUCCAAUCGGGUGGGAUAUUCUGACAUCAAAUUAGGCACUUAUUGAAAAUUCGUACCAUUGCUUGCAACAGGGUCUCUGGUUCACGUUUCAUCAGCUGGAUGGGAAGUUCUCCAGGGGCUGAAGCUCUUCCAGUAUUCAUUUCUUUCAGUUCUUUCUUUAUUUCUUCGCUACUUAUUGCUUGUAGCUUUGCAUCGUCUAUCAUACCAUCGUUCAGUUCUUCCAAAAAAUUCUAUCCUACCUUCUGUUAAUAGUGACUUGUAGUGUUCUUCUUAUUCAUUCUUUUCAAUUUGCGUCAACCGGGGUAAUAGUAAACAAUUUUCGCAAGUUUGAUAUUUUUUCAAUUUCAUCUGUGAGUUAUGACUCUACUGUUUUAAUAUUAACUACAAAAUAAUUUUUGGGGCAUUAUUUAGACCGUAAACUAUACUAAAAUGCAGAAUAAUAUUAAAAAGAAAAAUCCAGGGCAGGUUCAAGAAAAUGCAUUAUUUAAGGGGUAUUAAGCUUAUAAGGUAGUAGAUAUAUAUUUUUUAAUUUUGGUCAGUGUUUAAAUUUACCACAACGUUAUUGGAGAACAUAGCAUAUAUGCUUGAAUAGUUUAUUUGACGUUUAUCUUUGAAAACCUAGGUAUAAUUUAUUACAAAAUUUAUAGUAAUACAUUCGGAAAAGAAAACAAAUUAACACUGUUGAACAAUAGAUAACAAAAUCGGGAUUAAAAUAAGAGUAUUUUACGAAUGAAUACAAGGCCCUUCAUUUUCAAAAUGAUCAAAUAUUCUCUCGCCUUUCAUUUUAAUUGUGGGAACAGGUAUAACUCCCAAUAUUUGCUCUUGAAAAACAAAACUAACGUCACUUUGAUUGAUGGCGAAAUUUUGGUAUUUUUUGUCAAUAUAUUUGAGAUUACUACUUAAGUGCAUAGUCGUAUUUCUUUUACCACCAGUGAAUUUGACAAGAACACAAUCACCAUUUUUCAAAUCUGAUAACUGAGUGGUCUUGAAAGUGAUUACUUCUUCAUUUUUGUUGAAAUCUUCUUCCCAGGGGCUUUCUGAAUCACGUUCAUAGGAUUCAAUUGAAUCAUCGUCACUUGAGGAACUCUCUGUUUUUUCUGCCUCUUCUUUUUCAUAUCUUUCUUUCCCAGGCUUCUUCACUCUCUUUGGCCUUUCCACUCUCUUUGAUGGUACAGUAGUUGAUUUUUGUUUUUUGGUCUUUUCCAGUAAUUUUUGUUGCGUUUCUUUUAGCUUUUUUAACACCUCUGCUGUAGUUAACACCUCUCCACAACUGAGUUGUUUCAAUCUUGAUAUUACUAUCUCUUAUGAAGGUGAUUGUGUUCUUUUAACAAUAGUAGCGGUCUCUAAACUUUUGGUUUGAACAAUAUUUAUGUCCCGUCUUCUAGCUUUUUCCCAAAAUUUUUGUAAAUGCUCUGGUUUUUUAGGAACAAAAUGUCAUUGUGUCUUCACAAAAACAAGUAAUACCAAUUUUUCCCAGGUCUUCCAUUAACAAAAGGUGUUAUAUUGUGAGACUGUAAUAAUCAUGAAUAAGAUUUAACAGCUCCUCCUUGUCCUUGUCCUCCUGCUUUUGCUCUAGCAAGCCAACAUUCCACAAUCUUAUCUUCAGAGAGUUCUAUUUUGCGGACUGGACCAGUGGAGUCCAUGGAAGUUUUGCGUCAAUUAAUCCUUUUUGGAAGUUACUUCAAUAGAGACAUUAUAAUAUUCUUGAGCUUGCCGGUAAGUUUUGUUGGGGUAUGAACAUUAAUGAGGUCUUUUUUUGUAUAUACUGUCCAAUUUGUCUUGCGCACAUAUUUUCCAAGCAUGUGAAAUAUUUUACAAAAAUAAAAAGCGUGUUUACAUUUACCCCAAAAUGAUGUUUACUUUUACCCCAUAUUGCAAAAUAUUUGGGGAAAAUAUAAACACUCUUCAAUUAUUUUAGUAAUAAAAAUUAAACUUUUGAAACCAGUAAAUAAGGAGACAACAAAGCCUUAAUAAUCCUGGAAAAUUGUCGAAGUUCCACUUUCCUUAAUAGUAAUUCAUUUACAUAACUUUUACAUUUGUGUUAAACAAAAAAACGAAAAUUUUUGCAGGGGUUUGAGAAGCCAAACAAACUCGUCAAAAUAACGUGAUUCCUUAAAUACUGGUGGUAGGGGAAAUCUUUUUGUCGAAGAGGCGCGGCGUUGCAGUUUGGCGCUAAAUUUAAACUCCUUUUAGGUAGCGUUUAAAAUUUCCCCCGUUUACAAUUACCCCGGUUGAACGUAAGCUGAUAUUCAUUAUAUACUUUUUUUCUGUUCUGAGACUUCUCAAAAACUUCCAGGUCUGUGUUACUCUGGUCUUAAAAUCCUAAGUAUUUUUCUACGUUUUCACACCUUCUCCCACCUUUCAUUCUUUCUUCCGGCAACUUCUUUUUUCGUUUCUCUGCUUAGUUCAACUUACAGUCAUGGUCUUGUGGGUUUUUCGUGUUUAGCCAUGUAUAACAAGUUCUUUUCUUCUACUCAAUUUUCCCCCUUGUUUUCUUUGUUUCUAUAGUUCAGUGAUAAAGUUUUAUGGUCCGUCUGGUAAAUACAUUUUUUGAUUUGCUCAUAUUCUUCUUCAGCAGUUUCUUUUCCCCUCGUUUCUGCAAAUUUCGUAGCUAACCUUAGUUUGGAUAAUAAUAACUGAACCGAUUCUUAUGUUUGUCUCUUUAAAUUAUAUAUUUUAUUAUCGGCUUUGUAAAUUUCCUUAUUUGCUCUUUCCUAUAAUUUAUUGUUAUUGUUGCCACCAGCAGAUAAUGGGCCGAUCCACAUUCGGCUUACGUCUUUUGUUUAUAAUCUUGUAUCUUGCGGUUGAAUGGAGUAAUUGAUCGUAAUUUUUUCUUUGGUUGUUCCCAGGUGAAUUUAGGAAUGUUUUUGUGAUGAUAAAAUCUAUUCAUUAUUUUCAUGUCUAGGCCAAUGAGUUUUCCUUUUUCUUCCUUGCCUACUUUGGCAUUGAAAUUGACUCAAAGGCAGAUUUUUUUGCUACGUUUUAAAUUUAAGUUUGUCGAAAAACUCGUCUUUUUCUUCCAUCUCCGCAUCGUCACUGGGCGCAUAUAUUCCAACUAUAACAACUCAAAUUGAACUGAGGUGGCUUUGACUUGAUGAAAAUCCACUUAUCAAAAUAAAUAAGAACUAAAAAUUCAGAUUUUCACGAAAUUAUAUAUUUUUACACGACAAUUAUUUAGACAAUACCGUGUCUUUAUCAAAUGCACAUUUGUUGUUUUUGUUGUUUUGUUGUUCAUUGUAAUAAUCCGUUCGCCAAUUUCUUUCCAACUGUUUAUUAUGCUCCUGUGUUUUUUGUGUAUCGCUCUUUUUGCUCUUAGGCUUUUCUCCGCUAUAGAAAUGGAUAUAUUCAUCUUUUAUUUCACUUUCUUUACCUUUUUUCUUUGUUUCAGUUAUAACACAUAAAUCAAUGUUUUGCUGUUUUCAGACUCAAAACCAACCGCUUGAUUGACUACAUACGUAGACUACUAAAAAAUAUUUAAAAUUUGAUCCAAAAUACUGAUAUAGAGGGUAUUAUACAAAAAUAACCAAAAACUAAUUUCAGAACGGAAAUACCAAUAAUAUACAUUAUGUCCCAUUUAAAAUAUCAAAGUUGAUGCUACUUCUUCGAAGCAGCAGUAAAAUUGCGUUGCGGAAAAUGUGUUAGGUUCAGGACGGCCCUACGUUUCAUUCAAGACAAGCCACAGCUAAUAAUAUGCAGGUGACACGUCUUUCUCGACAUACGAUGAUUUCAACUCACCCCGGAUAUUUGAGUAAACAUGUCUUAAUUUUACCCUCAAACAACUGAAAGCCGUUUGAGAUAGAAGAGAUUCGAAUGUCGGAAAGUAGAGGAGCCUGCUACCAUACACGUGGUAGUGUUUUACCCACUGGAGUAAUUGGUUAUUCUGUUGCAUUUCAAAAUAUGCUGGUUCUGACAAAUUUAAUGUUUCACGUAUUACGCUGCUAAUCAACUUAACUGCUUUGAAGAAAGAAAUUUAGAAUAAGAAAUUACAACUGUAGAGCGUGCGUAUUCUAUGAACCCCUUCGAGUCUGUACUUGUUGAGCUUAGAACGACCGUUAGGUCGACUAUAUCAACUAUUUGGCAGAUCACGCUAAUUGUCUAAAAGUAUAAAAAUCCCUUUCGCACAUUAACAAGUGUUAUGACUAAUUGUUUUAACUGUUGACGUCUUAAAAUGUGAAAAACCACUUGAAAAGUUAUUGAAAAAACUUUUUUUCAUUUUCUAAAUCUCUGGAUUGCCUAACGUCUGUAGUGCGCCCGCGAUAGUCGAUGGAAGUUCCUGGAACUCUGCGAGUGGGGGGGUUAAAACGGUAGCGCUGGAAACGGACGGGUAGUAUGGAGUUGCGAGGUGAGGAGGCUGGUUCACCGUUUUUGAAUUCGGACCCGGCAGGCCGCCUCAAAGAGUGUUAUUUUGUUUUGAUUGUUUAUCGUGGGACAGUAUCGGGUUCCCAAUACUGCUCCUCUCAGGUGUAUCCUUCAUUUUCGCAAAUAUAUGUUGUUUAUUUUACUCCAGAA